UAUCUUAUUUUAAAAGGAGUCAAUUAAGGUGUUGGAUCACAAUUUCAAUAGUUUUAGAGCCCAGUUCUUGGCCCAAUUCGAAUUAGUCUAUUACGCCUAGGGACCCUUCUAUACUCCUCUAUGGAAUAAAAACAAAUAAAAAAGAUCCUAAGGAUCUUAUACACAAAAUACUUAGGGACUAAUUGAUAAAUACACAAAACUUACACCUAAACCUAGAAUCUACCUUGGAAAAGAAAUAAGUUGUGCAGAGAACGGACCCCCUCCCCCCUCACGAUCUCAUCUUCUUUAUCCCCCACCCAGAUGACUUCUCCAUCGUUCCUGACUACCUCUAGCAUCUUAAAAAACUAGAACACCCAUUUCCAGCCAUCACAACCAUGACACCCCAAAAAUCUAGAGCUUAAGUGGAGGAGCAUUGAUUUUCAGAGAAGAAACCUCACCCCCUUGGCUUCAUCUUCUUGAGCAAACAAUUCUGAAGCAACCAUUGAUCUGAGAAACAAAAACCAAUAGACUCUUCUAAUCUAAAAGAAGACACCAUUAGCAUCUUCUUCACCCUCAAAUAAACGCUCUCUCUUUCUCGAAUGAACAGAACCGACAACACUUCCCCAUAGUCGGAAACUAGCGUACACCACCCUCACCCUAUCUCCCUCACUCCAAACACACACAUACACACACAGAGUCGCAACUCCAUGAAAGCAACACCGCGAAGCUUCACCCGUGGCUACAUGUUUCUAUCACCAAAAUAGGUCUGCUAGAGAACCACCAUCAACGACUCUUUAAGUUCGAUUUUGUCGGCAAAGAUCGGGUUACUUCGGCAACAUUUGAGGUCUGUUUGAGGUCGCUGGUGAGGUCCAACUUGAGUUCUGGCUAGUUUGAGUCUGUUGUCAUCCAUUUGCUUCCGUUCGAGGUUCUGUUUCUUUUUUGUAAGAUACUGCUGCUUUUUAUUUCCAUGCCAAAUUUUAUCAACUCAUGAAUGUUUUCAGUUGCAAUAAUGCUCUUGUUAUGAUGUGGUUGAAUUUAGUUUUAUUGAUUUUAUAAAAAAUAUAUCUUGCCAUUAAAUUAUGAGCAUGUGGCAUUAAUCUUUUGCUAAUAAUUUUGUUUUUUUUUAAAUUUGAAUUAAAAAUCAGUGAGUACUAGUGUUAGGCCUUGGAUUUUUAAUUUGAAUUAAUAGAACUUAGGUUUAAUAGUUGCGUGAUUUGUUAGUGGCUAUGUGUAUAGUUCCCGUGGCAUGGUUACAAUAUAUGAAUCUCAAUUCGGGGGUGCAUUUCAUGUAAUCCAAC
rnacentral:lncRNA from 1 species